AUGACUUCAAGUGCAGCUAUUCUCGCCGUUGUCAGCGUGCUGGUCAUCGGGUCCUUCCUAUGCCAGCCGGCGGCGGCGACAGCCUGCCAAGACUGCGCCUCGUCGUGCAGCAGCGUCAACUUCGCCACGCCGACGGGGCCUUGCAGCGGCGCCUGCAGCCCGGAGCCGCAGUGCCUGCAAAACUGCAAGUCCACGGCCCUCGCUAAGUGCACGACCGCCUGCAAAAGCAGCUGCAAUGGCAGCUGCUGGUCCGGAAAAUGCAACUGCGAUCGUGUAUGCAGCGACGCCUGCGCCAGCGCCGGGAGUGAGUGCAACAGCAGCUGCAUCAACUCGCAGUCGUGCCAGUCUUGCAAGGACAUGUACACCCAGCAGUGCACCACCUACUGCAACGCCAACUGCAGCUGA
rnacentral:rRNA from 1 species